GAUGAACGCUGGCGGCGUGCCUAAUACAUGCAAGUCGAGCGAACAGACGAGGAGCUUGCUCCUCUGACGUUAGCGGCGGACGGGUGAGUAACACGUGGAUAACCUACCUAUAAGACUGGGAUAACUUCGGGAAACCGGAGCUAAUACCGGAUAAUAUAUUGAACCGCAUGGUUCAAUAGUGAAAGACGGUUUUGCUGUCACUUAUAGAUGGAUCCGCGCCGCAUUAGCUAGUUGGUAAGGUAACGGCUUACCAAGGCAACGAUGCGUAGCCGACCUGAGAGGGGGAGCGCCCACCAGGGAAGGGAGACCCGGCCCAGACCCCUACGGGAGGAAGCAGUAGGGAUUCUUCCGAAAUGGGCGAAAGCCGGACGGAGCAACGCCGCGUGAGGGAUGAAGGUUUUCGGAUCGAAAAACUUUGUUAUGAGGGAAGAACAAAUGUGUAAGUAACUAUGCACGUCUUGACGGUACCUAAUCAGAAAGCCACGGCUAACUCCGUG
rnacentral:rRNA from 1 species